CCCCAAGGCCCCAGGCCCAACAUUAGGAAAACUAACCCCUGUGCCCUGAAGCUGCAAGAUGUUCCAUAUAGAUAACCCCGGAAGGGCCAAACUUGAGCAAACGGGGUAAAAACAGGAACUAAAAGGACAGGAUGCAAUUUUAUGGUUUUUCUGAGAACUAAAGUGAGAAAACAAGUUUACCCCCCUAGGUGACUCAACUGCUGAAUUCAGAGGGACCAAUAGGAAGGCUGUUGCUGUGCUAAGCUAAGACCUAACCCACCUGUUCCCUAUAAAAGAUCUAUACCCCAAAGCCCGGUGUGCCAGUUCACCGAAGCUCCGGCUGAGGUUUUGCUGUGCACCCGCAGGCGCCUGUGUGAGAAUAAACGCCUCCUGCUCUUUGCAGCCAGUGUCUCGUGUGGUUCAUUCCGGGUUUGGGAUCUGUGGAUAUUUCAUUGUGGAGGUUCCACCGAGAUCCAAGAUCCCGGUUCCGGUUCCGAUCCCGGUCCCUAUCCGGAGGACACCCGACAUCACUGGGAGACUCAUUUGCAUGCUUUGCAAUUGGUCCAGAACGAGGUCUGGAAGCCUCUAGCCGCAGCAUACAAAGAGGAACUUAAAACCCCCUUGCUGCCACAUCCCUUCAAGGUCGGAGAUACCGUCUGGGUACGCAGGCACCAGAGCAGGAACCUCGAACCGCGGUGGAAAGGACCCUACACUAUCCUGCUGACCACUCCUACUGCACUCAAAGUGGACGGCAUCGCUGCUUAGAUCCAUGCUUCCCACGUGAAGACUGCACAUCCACAGGAGUCCGCAGACACCUCUCCGGAUCCAGAAUGGAAGUUGCAACGUACCCAAAAUCCGCUAAAGAUAAGACUCACUCGCUGUUAAUUUUUCUUGCUUUGUGCUGUGUCUUCCCCAUAUCAGUUAACCCCAACCAAUCUGUGAGCCAGACAUGACAAGUAUUAUCGGGGACAAGAAAUAUAAUUAAAAAAAAAAAAAAUCCGCAAAAUACCCCCUUUGGGCUUGAUGGCCUACCCUAGGGCCUGAAAACUAAGUCGCAGGCACAAAAAUGUGGGCAACAUGAAAGUUACUAUUGUAAGUCUUGGGGAUAUAAAACUACGGGGGAUGCAUAGUAGAAGCCAAGCUCAUCUUAGGAUUUAAUUCAAAUAAAAAAAAAAAAAAACAAAACAGGAUCCCCCACUUUCUGCCGACUCUUGCAGGAGCCUGAAAUGGUACGGGGCAGGGCCAUGUACCGCAUUUGCCUGCAACCCCUUAAACAUUACCUUUACUCAGGCAGGCAAAGCAUCAAAAGAUUGGAUAAAAAAAAAAAAAAAACAAUGGGGCCUGAGAGUAUA